GACGGACGCUGACGGCGUGCUUAACACAUGCAAGUCGAACGGAAAGGCCCUGCUUUUGUGGGGUGCUCGAGUGGCGAACGGGUGAGUAACACGUGAGUAACCUGCCCUUGACUUUGGGAUAACUUCAGGAAACUGGGGCUAAUACCGGAUAGGAGCUCCUGCUGCAUGGUGGGGGUUGGAAAGUUUCGGCGGUUGGGGAUGGACUCGCGGCUUAUCAGCUUGUUGGUGGGGUAGUGGCUUACCAAGGCUUUGACGGGUAGCCGGCCUGAGAGGGUGACCGGCCACAUUGGGACUGAGAUACGGCCCAGACUCCUACGGGAGGCAGCAGUGGGGAAUAUUGCACAAUGGGCGGAAGCCUGAUGCAGCAACGCCGCGUGCGGGAUGACGGCCUUCGGGUUGUAAACCGCUUUCGCCUGUGACGAAGCGUGAGUGACGGUAAUGGGUAAAGAAGCACCGGCUAACUACGUG
rnacentral:rRNA from 1 species